rnacentral:rRNA from 1 species
AGAACGAACGCUGGCGGCAUGCCUAACACAUGCAAGUCGAACGCUCUUGGGAUUUCGGUCUCAAGGGAGUGGCGCACGGGUGAGUAGCGCGUGGGAACCUGCCCUGUUGUGGGGGAUAACCGAGGGAAACUUCGGCUAAUACCGCAUGCGCCCCCGGGAGUGAUCCUGGGGGGAAAGAUUUAUCGCAGCAGGAGGGGCCCGCGUCGGAUUAGGUAGUUGGUGGGGUAACGGCCCACCAAGCCUGUGAUCCGUAGCUGGUCUGAGAGGAUGAUCAGCCACACUGGGACUGAGACACGGCCCAGACUCCUACGGGAGGCAGCAGUGGGGAAUAUUGGACAAUGGGCGCAAGCCUGAUCCAGCAAUGCCGCGUGAGUGAUGAAGGCCUUAGGGUUGUAAAGCUCUUUCGCCCGCGACGAUGAUGACGGUAGCGGGAGAAGAGCCCCGGCUAACUUCGCGCCAGCAGCCGCGGUAA